GCUGGGCAUGGUGGUGUAUGCCUGUAAUCCCAGCUACUCAGGAAGCUGAAGCAGGAUAUUCGCUUGAACCCAGGAGGCUGAGGUUGCAGUGAGCCGAGAUCGUGCCACUGCACUCCAGCCUGGGCGACAGAGUGAGACCCCGUCUCAA
rnacentral:SRP_RNA from 1 species